rnacentral:rRNA from 1 species
GACGAACGCUGGCGGCGUGCUUAACACAUGCAAGUCGAACGGAAAGGCCCUGCUUUUGUGGGGUGCUCGAGUGGCGAACGGGUGAGUAACACGUGAGUAACCUGCCCUUGACUUUGGGAUAACUUCAGGAAACUGGGGCUAAUACCGGAUAGGAGCUCCUGCUGCAUGGUGGGGGUUGGAAAGUUUCGGCGGUUGGGGAUGGACUCGCGGCUUAUCAGCUUGUUGGUGGGGUAGUGGCUUACCAAGGCUUUGACGGGUAGCCGGCCUGAGAGGGUGACCGGCCACAUUGGGACUGAGAUACGGCCCAGACUCCUACGGGAGGCAGCAGUGGGGAAUAUUGCACAAUGGGCGGAAGCCUGAUGCAGCAACGCCGCGUGCGUGAUGACGGCCUUCGGGUUGUAAACCGCUUUCGCCUGUGGCGAAGCGUGAGUGACGGUAAUGGGUAAAGAAGCACCGGCUAACUACGUG